rnacentral:rRNA from 1 species
ACGGAGGGUGCAAGCGUUAUCCGGAUUUAUUAGGUCUAAAGGGUGCGUAGGCGGAUAAUUAAGUCAGUGGUGAAAUCCUACAGCUUAACUGUAGAACUGCCAUUGAUACUGGUUAUCUUGAGUUUAGUUGAGGUAGGCGGAAUGUGUAGUGUAGCGGUGAAAUGCUUAGAUAUUACACAGAACACCGAUUGCGAAGGCAGCUUACUAAGCUAUAACUGACGCUGAGGCACGAAAGCGUGGGGAGCGAACAGG